UAAUAAAAAAAUACAGAUGGAACGUCACGUUAGCUGUCGGCAAAUGCUCCCCCGCUUUCAUUUCAAAUUUGGAUUGAAUUGCUAAAUGUUUUUAAAUCCUAACUUAUUGUACCAAGUAAAAUCAUUUUAAUUAAAAUGCAAAAAUUCAUAAAGGUUUAAAUUUUUUAUGCCAUUAUCCAAAAAUAUAUUAAAUGUCAUGAAAUACAUCAUAAUAGUUAAUUGACAAAAGGAGAGAAGCACCACGGUACUUCUCCGUUUCGGUUAGUCAAAUAACCUUAUAGGGGUGUUGGAGUUGGUUGCAUUAGAGCUAAUGUUUAGGCGUUUCUAGGUGUUAAGGAGAAGUAACAAGUAUAAGCAAAUGUGUAUACCUUAUAGGUUAAGGUCUGGAUAUAACUCUACUAUAGGCUUUAGUAACUUGGCUAAGAAUGUUAUUUGACAUUCAACAUGUGUUAGAAGAUACAGGUGAUAGUCUAAAGUCGUGAUUGCGAUAAUCUAUUCAAUGCUACAAAUGUUUGUAUUGUAAGCUGCAGAUUACAUUAUGGACAUUGGAGCAUUAAGUGGAAAUUGUGUGCAUCACUUUUAGGAAUCUGCUAGGAUAUAGUAGAUGCCUUAUAUCUGAUGCAGUUGUACCGUGACAGAAGAUACCAGGAGAAUACGCACAUAAAAUAAGUGAUAGUUAUGAGAUGGUAGGUGUGAUUAAGGGGUUAAUUUAUCUCAUUAAUGAGAUAUUAGUUAGUCUUGCUAUGAAAAAAAUAAGGAAGAUUGUAGAGUUUAUCCAACUUUUAAGAACAUGACACAGAUAGUGUAUGAUUUCGUAAUGUACUUUUUGAUAAAUAUUUUGAUUCAUCACUUGGAAGUGGAUAGGGUUGCCUUUAAGAUUAUAUUGAAGGUCUAUGUUUAAAAACCGAAUUAAUCACUGCAAUAGUUUAUUCUUUUUCCCUUUUUAGAAGCAUUAUUAUAUUUGAUAAGAUUAGAUAAAUUAUUUUGGCGGAAUUGAUAUUAUUUGAGAUAAUAUUGUUGUUUAUNNNNNNNNNNNNNNNNNNNNNNNNNNNNNNNNNNNNNNNNNNNNNNNNNNNNNNNNNNNNNNNNNNNNNNNNNNNNNNNNNNNNNNNNNNNNNNNNNNNNNNNNNNNNNNNNNNNNNNNNNNNNNNNNNNNNNNNNNNNNNNNNNNNNNNNNAAUUAUUUAUGUUUCCUUAGUUAUUUACUGGAUUCCAGAUAUAACUCUUAUUCCUCCAAUAGAUUGUUGAAUAAAUGAAUAAGAUUAUUUUUGUAUAGCAUAGUGUGAUAUUGUGGUUGAUUAUUAGCAAGAAUAAAUUAUGUUAGUAUAAACUUUAUGUUAUUAUCUAUUGUUAAGAGCUACGUCGACCUGAUCCUCUAUUGGAGGUACGUAGGCAGGCUUCGGGUGCGAUCCAAAUAUAACAUAUGUUAAGACUUUAAUUAGCAAAUAGUAGCGAUGUAAAUUCAAGCCAUAUUAACAGAUUUUCAUGUUGAAUAAAUUACUUAUUGGAAAUUUAAUAAGUUUAAUAUGACUAAAAUAAUUAUCAUACAUAUAAUUAUAUUUAUAAGAGUAUAGAUAAAAAUAAAGUCACAAAAGAAAUCACUGAAUUAGAUAAGAUAUAGGAGAACAAUUUUCAUAAAGAGACCAUGAGUGAAUUACACCCUUAAUAUUGCCAAAACAUGACUAUAACUUAGGAUAGAAGCAUACAGAAGUACCUAAAAUGAAUAACUUGGAAAGCUUGUCAAAGGAACGAAAAUUGGCAUGCGAAUAGGUGCAAUUUGUGAUAUAGAACAGCAAUUGAAAGGCAGUGUCACAAUCUAGAUAUAAAACGUAAGUUGGCAUUUGAAAGGCAGUGUCGUGGUUCAGUUAUAAGGCAUAGACGAAGUGUCGCACCUACCCCAAAUCCUCAUUUACUAGCAAACUAAAUGAAAUUGUUUCUUGAAAAAAUAAAGAAUAAUGGCAUAAAAAUCCAAAAUUUUAUUUCUUGGCACAAUAAAUUUGGAUUUAAAAAUAUUUGGCGAUUCUUUCCAGAUUUGAAUUGAAAGUGGGGGAGUAUCUGUCGGUAGCAGGCCAUAUUGUAUUUUUAUAUUACUUGAUGCUGGACUCUACGCUACACCAUGGAUAACCAAGGCGAGGUAUUAAUCGUUGGUUAAAUAAGGUAAAAUUCUUAAAUGGUGUAGAAAAACCUAAAACGCUCUUAUCGACGCCGUCGCUCGCUGCCGAAUUUAUUUUCCCGACUUCGUCCUUCGCACAAAAAGUUGGCCUUCUCGCUUCACCACCAUUUUGGCCUCAGAAAAGGAGAUAUUGCCUUCGUGCUUUCUCCUAACUCUAUUCAGCUUUCGGUCCUUUAUUUCUAUAUCUUCGCUCUCGGUGUCGUUACCUCUCCUAAAAAAUCAAGUGUCUUUAAACUUGAGAUUCUCCACCAAAUUCAGCUAUCGAAACAUGUACUUGUGUUCGUCACGUUGAAUGCUACUCAUACAAUUCCUAAUCUCAAAACAAUCGUACUCGACUCUUCCGAGUUUGAAUCGCUGAUGAUGAGUCUAGCUAACUGUGGAGAAAUGGAAGGAGGGAAGGUUUACCAAUUGGACCCUGGGACAAUUCUCUAUCCUCACGGACUACUGGUCGAGUUAAUGGAUUGGUUUUGGCUCAUCGAAAUUUCAGAUGCAUGGUGGCCCUAAGCCAUGCGGUUUACAUGAGCUGGAUGGCUGCUGCAACUUUCUUUUUUUUUGGUGCCUUAUUUUCAUGUUUAUGGUUUAUGUUAUUUCGUGAGAGCUUUAACUAUGGGAGUGGCGGUGGUGUCCAUAGGUAGAUUUGAUAUGAAGACAAUGUUGACAGUAAUUCAGCAGUGUAAGAUAGACUGCACCGGCUGUGGUGCUAAUAACGAAGGAUCCUAGGUUGUUAGAUGACUAAGAUUUUAGCUCUCUAGAUGUUGUAGGCUGCAGAGUUGCUUCGCUUAGGAAAAGCGUAGUUGAACUGUUUCGUGAACAAUUUCGAAAUUUGAGUUUAAGUCAACUUAGUUAAACACCAAACUUGGAUUUUUACCAUUAACCGGUGGUUAAUUUCUCAUAUUGGUUAUUCAAUGUGUAGCGUAUGAUCCACCAUUAAGUAAUAAAAAAAUACGGAUGGAACGUCACGUUAGCUGUCGGCAAAUGCUCCCCCGCUUUCAUUUCAAAUUUGGAUUGAAUUGCUAAAUGUUUUUAAAUCCUAACUUAUUGUACCAAGUAAAAUCAUUUUAAUUAAAAUGUAAAAAUUCAUAAAGGUUUAAAUUUUUUAUGCCAUUAUCCAAAAAUAUAUUAAAUGUCAUGAAAUACAUCAUAAUAGUUAAUUGACAAAAGGAGAGAAGCACCACGGUACUUCUCCGUUUCGGUUAGUCAAAUAACCUUAUAGGGGUGUUGGAGUUGGUGGUAUUAGAGCUAACGUUUAGGCCUUUCUAGGUGUUAAGGAGAAGUAACAAGUAUAAGCAAAUGUGUAUACCUUAUAGGUUAAGGUCUGGAUAUAACUCUACUAUAGGCUUUAGUAACUUGGCUAAGAAUGUUAUUUGACAUUCAACAUGUGUUAGAAGAUACAG
rnacentral:lncRNA from 1 species